rnacentral:misc_RNA from 1 species
GAUGAAGAACGCAGCGAAAUGCGAUAAGUAAUGUGAAUUGCAGAAUUCAGUGAAUCAUCGAAUCUUUGAACGCACAUUGCGCCCGCCAGUAUUCUGGCGGGCAUGCCUGUUCGAGCGUCAUUUCAACCAUCAAGCCCCCGGCUUGUGUUGGGGACCUGCGGCUGCCGCAGGCCCUGAAAUGCAGUGGCGGGCUCGCUGUCACUCCGAGCGUAGUAGUUACAUCUCGCUCUGGGCGUGCUGCGGGUUCCGGCCGUUAAAAGCCUUAUUUACCCAAGGUUGACCUCGGAUCAGGUAGGAAGACCCGCUAAACUUAAGCAUAUCAAUAAGCGGAGGA